rnacentral:rRNA from 1 species
GUGCCAGCAGCCGCGGUAAUACGGAGGGUGCGAGCGUUAAUCGGAAUUACUGGGCGUAAAGCGCAUGCAGGCGGUCUGUUAAGCAAGAUGUGAAAGCCCGGGGCUCAACCUCGGAACAGCAUUUUGAACUGGCAGACUAGAGUCUUGUAGAGGGGGGUAGAAUUUCAGGUGUAGCGGUGAAAUGCGUAGAGAUCUGAAGGAAUACCGGUGGCGAAGGCGGCCCCCUGGACAAAGACUGACGCUCAGAUGCGAAAGCGUGGGGAGCAAACAGGAUUAGAUACCCUGGUAGUCCACGCCGUAAACGAUGUCUACUUGGAGGUUGUGGCCUUGAGCCGUGGCUUUCGGAGCUAACGCGUUAAGUAGACCGCCUGGGGAGUACGGUCGCAAGAUUAAAACUCAAAUGAAUUGACGGGGGCCCGCACAAGCGGUGGAGCAUGUGGUUUAAUUCGAUGCAACGCGAAGAACCUUACCUACUCUUGACAUCCAGAGAACUUUCCAGAGAUGGAUUGGUGCCUUCGGGAACUCUGAGACAGGUGCUGCAUGGCUGUCGUCAGCUCGUGUUGUGAAAUGUUGGGUUAAGUCCCGCAACGAGCGCAACCCU